rnacentral:misc_RNA from 1 species
CAGAGUUGCAAAACUCCCACACCCUUUGUGAACGCACUGAAAAUACUGCUUCGGCGGGUAGCUCUUCAGGGGGUAGCCCGCCGGGGAAGCACUAAACUCUUGUAUUUUUGGCUUCUCUGAGUGAUUAUACAAUGAAUCA